GACUGGAUGGUGUAUUGGCAACACAUCUGUACAGAGUGCCCAUAGUCCCACACCAUGCAUCACACAGAAGAUGUCCCACACCAUGCAUCACACAGAAGAUCCCUGUUCGAAUCGGGGUCCAGUCA